ACGUGAUCUGAGUUCAGACCGGAGUAAUCCAGGUCGGUUUCUAUCUAUAUCUAAGCUUAUUCUAGUACGAAAGGACCGAAAAAGCAUGGCCUCUGCCUAAAGCAAGCCAUCAUUAAAAAUUUCUGCCUACAACUCAACCAAAUAUUAACCUACUAUAUACUUCAAGAUCAGAAU
rnacentral:rRNA from 1 species